AGAGGAUUGUAUGGAGAUUAUGCCGGAUGGGCACAUUCUGUUCUGUUUAGUGCAGAUUUAAGGCACCUACAGGCACUCAAACUGCAAGGCGAACCAGUGGAGAAUUUAAGUGGUACAAAAAAGUCCAGUAAAAUAACCAAAGAUGAGAAAAAAAGUACAAAUACAAAGAAGAAAACUCAACUUGUUAAACAAGAAAAAACUGCUAGAAUGAAAAAGACUGAAAAAGAAAUAAUUGGAGUUAAAAGAAAAGGUUUUCAUCCAAAGAUUGGAAAAAGUAAAAAGAUGAAAUAAUCAAAUGAACAAUCUAUCAAUGCUUCUUUAAUUUAAAGGGACUAUAAGUGUAAUUUCAAGUGACCUUCCACGCAAAGACAGGAAAAGACAAUGCCUGAUUUAAUUUUAACAAUUUCUAUAUGUUUCCCUUCAGAGUUGAAAUGUGUUAUUCACCACAGUCAAGAAUAAUCAGUUUUCACAGGUAUAAACAUUAUACAUUGAUAUCUAAUCCAUACUUCAUCAGACAAAAUUUGAAAGGAACUGCCAUGAAUCAGGAUUUGUCAUCUUUGCAUGGAGGGUCACUUAAAAGUACGCUUACAACCCUUUCAAUAAUAAAAAUACCUCCUCAAUGAAGAAAUAUAUUCUAUAAAAUACUCUUAUCUUUUCAGAAAA